CAUAGACUUAAUGCAACAGCAAAAUGCCUUGUUCCCUGCCUUUGCUGCAACCCAUUUGGCCUCAAGAAGCAAGGGACCUGGAAACAUAACUUUGAUGUCUAAUUGCAAUGGAACAGCACCUCAAAAAAUUGGAUAACCUAUCUGAGCAUCCUGUCCAAACCUUCAUCUUUUUGGCCUAUACUUCUGCCACAAGAUUUCUCAGAGAAAUAUCUAUAUUUAUACAUUAUCUUCUUCUGCCAAUUUAAAAUUCACUUUAAAUAAUAGUAGAAUUACAGAAGCAUUGACUAAGCCCCAUACUGUUGUACUGAAGAAUGUAACUUGUUUCAAAGAACCAAGAUGCCCUGGGAAAGUGAAGUCACCACACUUUUCCAGUUAAUGUAUUUCUGACAUGCCUCUUCUGAUUUACCCUCACACUACUAAUGCCAAUUCACUACGUUGGAGCUUGCAUGACAACCAACUUCUUCACCAUCACGUCAGGAAUUGAAAAAUCAUCAAAUGACCUCAAUAUGUUUAACAACAAGUUUUAGCAAUCUAGAAAAGCAAAUAAUGGAUCUCAGUCUCACAGUCUACAACAGUCUGGGAAAGCAUUCUACACAGGUUCCAAUAUUUUCUCAGAAAAGACAAGCCUCAUGGAUUACAUUUCUGACCUUUCUUUUUUCAUGUUGUAUUUUCCUCAUAGCACUUAUUGUCAUGCAAAAAGUCAUUCAAUACAGUUCUAUUUUGUAAAAACUUUUGUCAGAUUCUACGCUAGUAUUGCUCAGCAUGCCUGUAUCAAAAACAUACAACAUGCUAUUUAUCAUGGCCCUUGAUUUUUUAUGUUUUUGUGAUGUUUCUCAGAGAUGUAUUCUAUUUAUUGCAUGUAAAACAGUUUAAAAAAAUAGUAAUGAAAUACUUAUCCAUGUACUUAAAAGCCAG
rnacentral:lncRNA from 1 species